GGAUUCUCUGAGUAGUCUUGGCUGUCCUGGAACUCGCUCUUUAGACCAGGCUGGCCUUGAACUCAAAGAUCCGCCUGCCUCUGCCUCCCGAGUGCUGGGAUUAAAGGCAAGCGCCACUAAUGCCAG
rnacentral:miRNA from 1 species